rnacentral:rRNA from 1 species
CAGUAGCCACGGGAAUACGAAGGGGGCUAGCGUUGUUCGGAAUUACUGGGCGUAAAGCGCACGUAGGCGGACAUUUAAGUCAGGGGUGAAAUCCCGGGGCUCAACCCCGGAACUGCCUUUGAUACUGGGUGUCUAGAGUAUGGAAGAGGUGAGUGGAAUUCCGAGUGUAGAGGUGAAAUUCGUAGAUAUUCGGAGGAACACCAGUGGCGAAGGCGGCUCACUGGUCCAUUACUGACGCUGAGGUGCGAAAGCGUGGGGAGCAAACAGGAUUAGAUACCCCUGUAGUCCCUGUCUCUUAUAC